AAGCAAUUCAGCAUUUAUAUAUAAAGAGAGCAAGUUUGUGCUUAAAGUUAAGGCAAAGUUAUACAUUGAAAGUAAAUAAAAAUCCUCAAUUUAUUUAAAAUUUACAUAUAGGUGAGGAUCAUUAUAUAAAUUAGGUUGGAUCAAAGGGAUUCAUAGGCCAUCCAUCUAGCAAUCAUGGCAGAACAUUGAGGUUUGAAUUUUGCAGCAAAGUGGCCUGCUCCCUUCACAGUUGCAUAUGUCAAGCUGAAAUCUCCAUUUUCAAAUUUCCUUGUGUAUCCAGCAGUUUCAUUAUUGACAGACCAUGGUCUCCAUUUGUCUACCAUAGGCAAGUUCAGAGACUUUAUCCAUUGUUGUGUUCCAAUAUAUGGAAUUCCAGUGUCAUGAUCCCCACUAUAUAUCAAACCUCGAAGAUUGGUCUUGGAGAAAUUUUGAUGAUAAGCAAUAACACUUUCGAUGUCACGGCCGUAGACGCUAUUUAAUGUGUCAUUACAGUAUAGCCAGGUGGAUAUGGCUCCCUUUCGAACAUGAAUAGCUUCUUGGACAUCCACAUUGUUUGCCCAUUCUUGGCAAAUUGAUUGAUAAUAUGCAUCACAUUUUUUGUGGGAAGCAUUAUUCAGUGAUGUGUAGGAAUUUGUGGACUUGGAGUUGAGCUUGGUGCUGGCUGAUGUCAAGCAUUUGCUGCUGCAGGCUGGGUCUAAAAUUUGGGCUGGAUUUAUGUAGCAGAGUAGCUCAUUAAUAUAUGAGAGAAGUGCAUUACAAUCCUCGGUGUUUGGCGCAGGGUAGAAUGUGCCAUUGCAACUUGCAUACGCUGCCUCAAAAAUAUCAUCUGAUACAAGUCCCAAACGGUGAGCUAUAGAAACCCUGGAACAGAUUCAGUUAUUGAUUCCAAUUCAAGGAUUCCUAUAGCUCACCG
rnacentral:misc_RNA from 1 species